AUUGAACGCUGGCGGCAUGCUUUACACAUGCAAGUCGAACGGCAGCGCGGUCUUCGGCCUGGCGGCGAGUGUCGAACGGGUGAGUAAUACAUCGGAACGUGCCCAGUAGUGGGGGAUAGCUCGUCGAAAGCCGGAUUAAUACCGCAUACGACCUGAGGGUGAAAGCGGGGGAUCUUCGGACCUCGCGCUAUUGGAGCGGCCGAUGGCAGAUUAGCUAGUUGGUGGGGUAAAGGCCUACCAAGGCGACGAUCUGUAGCUGGUCUGAGAGGACGACCAGCCACACUGGGACUGAGCCACGGCCCAGACUCCUACGGGAGGCAGCAGUGGGGAAUUUUGGACAAUGGGCGAAAGCCUGAUCCAGCAAUGCCGCGUGUGUGAUGAAGGCCUUCGGGUUGUAAAGCACUUUUGGCGGGAACGAAAAGGACUGUGCCAAUACCACGGUUCGAUGACGGUACCCGCAGAAUAAGCACCGGCUAACUACGUG
rnacentral:rRNA from 1 species